GUAUAGGAAAAGCUGAAUCCAAAAUUUACCUUUGGAGCGGGGGGCAAAUCUUGGGGUGAAUCAUGUGAGCUGUUCACGUGUAGGGCUUACACCUACGGCCCGAAUCCGUCAACUAACCUCGUAAGCUAAGAAAGGUGGACUU
rnacentral:sRNA from 2 species